CUCCCCGACGUUUCCUUUCUCUUAUUUCUCUCCCGAUUCUUCUCUUCCGCCACAGAUCCCUUCUUCUCCCCCUUUCCUUCUUCUUCCUCUUCUCUCGUGGACAAAAGGGGCAGCCAAGGAGUCUCGUUUCUUCUCUUCUCCUCUGUGCGCCGACACCGACCUAGCGCCGUCACCUGUGCCCUAGCUCACCACCGACGCCCUCUUCUUCUCUCCUCCUUCCAUUCCAAGCGUCGCCGCCACACGGGACAGCGCCGACCUUCUCCACGCCGAGCCCUAGUUUCCCGAUGUCGACUUCUUCCUCUCUGCCGCAUCUCUGCACAAUGCCACUGCCCCUCUCCGAUCUCUUCUGUGCUGCCACCGACCACCCCAGUCCGACGCUGACUUCACUGCCCGGCGCCACUCCGAUCGUCCUCUGCCCUAGCACCGGUCUGCCAGCCGUCCAGUGUCAGCAACCACCUUGUUAUCAACCUGAGUCUUUGGUAUUAAGGUUUCCAACAGCAGCUUCGUCGGAUUCUUGGUCAUCGCAGGCAAUUAGAGGAAGAGGACGUUUCUUGAUUUCCAACAGCUACCUCUGUCCCAACAACAAGUUGUCUUUGCUAUGGAUUUGUUGGGCUGUGGAUUAAGGACUGAUUCAAGACGAGCGUCUUGACGUCGGAUUUAGACUGGAUAUGAUCCUUAUAUUGGAGGCGGG